CCCCCACCUUCGCCUCCAAACUUUCCCUCCAUUUUCUCCCCCCACUUUUUCUUUUCGUUUUUUUUUUCCAAUUUCUCUCGAUCUCUUCCUUUCUCCUUCCCUCCACCAAACCCACCAAAAAAAACCCGCCCAACCCACAAUCCGGUUCGGGUCGCUGGAUGUCGGGCUCUCGAGCUCAUGACCCGCCGGCUCAACCGCCCCAGCCGAUCAUGCAGCAGGCCCUCAAGCGGCAGCUCGCCUUCUCCUCCAUGAAACCGCCGUUUUCAGCUACAGCAGACUACCACGGCUUCGUUCCCGACCCUCGCCAACUCACUGAUUCAGAAGCUUAUGGCAUAUACGUUAAGCCCUCUCAGCUAAAACGGAAGAGUGAUGCGGCAGAUUACGAAGCUGAGUCUAGUGAUAGGACAGCUGCUCCUGGCUGAAGUAGUUACCAGCCCCCUCCAGACUCCCGUGUCAAGCAAGGUGGGAAAGGCAAACAAAACAUCAAGGCUGACAAAGUGCAGCAGAUCUGGACCACAGACUCCGGCUUUCAAUGUGGGUUCUCCUUCUGGGGCUAAUCUUACUCCGGCCGGACCUUGUCGUUUUGACAGCUCCCUAGGUCUCAUAACAAAAAAGUUUAUCAAUCUGAUCAAACGUGCGGAAGAUGGUAUUCUGGAUCUCAAUAAUGCUGCUGAUACUUUAGAGGUGCAAAAGAGGCGGAUAUAUGAUAUAACAAAUGUUCUUGAAGGAAUUGGUCUCAUAGAAAAGAAGCUCAAAAAUAGAAUUCAGUGGAAGGGACUUGAUGUCUCGAGGACAGGAGACGUGGACGAAAAUUAUCCUAGUUUACAGGCACAAGUUGAAAACCUAUCUGAUGAGGAGCGCAGAUUGGAUCAGCAAAUAAGAGAAAUGCAGGAAAGGUUGAGGGACCUGAGCGAAGAUGAAAGCAAUAAGAAAUGGCUUUUUGUCACUGAAGAAGACAUCAAGGGCUUACCUUGCUUGCAGAAUGAAACCUUAAUAGCAAUUAAAGCUCCACAUGGCACCACUCUUGAAGUCCCAGAUCCUGAUGAGGCUGUUGACUAUCCCCAAAGGAGAUACAGGAUGGUCCUGAGAAGCACGAUGGGUCCAAUAGAUGUUUACCUUGUCAGUCAAUUUGAGGAGAAGUUCGAGGAGAUUAAUGGUGUUGAAGUACCUACAGACAUCCCCUCAAGUUCAGGGGUUAAUGAAAACCCAGCUACAACAAUGGUCACAGAGAAUAGAGGGAAGGAUGUUGAAAUUCAGGGACCAGAUGAUCAUAGAAUGUGCGCUGAUCCCACUGCUUCCCAGGACAUCAUGAGUGGGAUGAUGAAGAUUGUUCCCUCAGAUGUUGAUAGUGAUGCAGAUUACUGGCUUUUAUCAGAUGCUGAUAUUAGUAUCACAGACAUGUGGAGAACAGAACCUGGGGUUGUAUGGAAUGAGUUGGGUGCAAUUGAUGAAGAUUAUGCCAUGGUUAAUGUCAGCACACCACGACCGCAAACUCCACCAUCCAGUUCAACUCAAGUACCGGCUACUGCCAACCGUACUAAGACUUGAAACCUAAAAAUGAUUCUUGCUGAAUCUAAUUGCAGAAGUGCACUCUUUUUUUCUGAGAACCUAUGAUGUCCAACCAUCUCAUGUAUUUGUUUCACCAGCGGAGGUUGGGUUGAAGGUUCCAGUAAGUGUUCCCGGAAGAUCCAUCUGAGGAACAAAGGAACAGCGGAACCAAAGAUGGAGGUAGCUGCAUUGUUGUACAUUAAUGUAAUAUACAUAUCCAUGAUACGGUGGCAAAUAAUUAAGAGGAUACAAUUGUUAGUACAUCAUGUAUAUUGUUAGAAUUAGCAGGCUUUUCUUGUAUUAACCAGGGUGAAGUAGACUGGCUAGUAAUAAGUCUGGAUAAGGUUGGAUAGGGAGAAUGUUGGGUAGUUUCAGGACCCCAAAAAAGGAAAGGAUUUAUGUUCUGAUGCCUCGUUUUGUUUUGAAUUAUACUGAUGAGCUAUUUUCUGAACUAGAA